rnacentral:rRNA from 1 species
UACGUAGGGUGCAAGCGUUACUCGGAAUUACUGGGCGUAAAGCGUGCGUAGGUGGUGAGUUAAGUCUGUCGUGAAAGCCCCGGGCUCAACCUGGGAAUGGCGAUGGAUACUGGCUCGCUAGAGUGCGGUAGAGGAGAGUGGAAUUCCCGGUGUAGCAGUGAAAUGCGUAGAGAUCGGGAGGAACACCCAGGGGGAAACCAGUCGACUGGGCAUCUACUGACGCUGAGGUGCGAGAGCGUGGGGAGCGAACCGG